UUUUCUUUUCUUUUCUUUUUCCUUUUUUCUUUCUUUCUUUUUUUUUUGCUGCGUCCCUGGCCGGCGCUUCCGCAGGCGGGAGCCGGAGCGCCCAGCAGAAAGUAGAGACAUUUCAAAAAGAUUUUCAUAUGGUUGAUGACCUGGAAAAAAAAAAGAAGGUAAACUGUGAUCCCAGUAGAAAAGCUCUUUUCCCACCUGGUGCCUUCCAAGUUGGCCACUUUGGCUGAGAUAUUUUGGGAUGGAAGCUGGAAGGCAGCAAUUGCUAAGAUCAUUGUUUACUUUCCUUGUACAACCAAACACCUUUGGCGACAUAAUGUCUGGCUGCAUAAAGAAGUUUCCAACUAUCGUGUUCACUUCCUUUGCAUAUGUUGCGUGCAAAAUACAGGCUUUGUCACCAAAGUAUAAUCCAGCAAGCCAGGGGUGACCAAAUUCAAAUCUAUUUGAAAAGAACAAGCCUACAGAUUAUCUGGUUGCUCUGACCUAUGGAGAUUCUCAGAUGACCUGUUGCAGCGAGUGAGCACAGCUAAUAAUCUGGAACUGGAUCUUACUCCAAAAAAAAGCCAUAGAUCAGCAGUAGAUUAUAUGCUUUGCGUGCAGAAAUUCCCAAGAUCGAUUUCCUGAUAUUUCCAGGUAAACCUGAGCCAAAAAAUUAAAUAAAUAAACAUUCCACCUAAGCUGCUCCAAGUCAAUACCAAUUGCUCUUCUUUGAGCAUCAUAAGCAUGUUUUGCUUGGAAGAGGCUCUUUGUGCAAUCAACCUAUGAAAUGACAUGCCUCUAGGUUCCAUUUUGUGACGAUGGCAGAUCAAGAUUACAGAAUCCUUAAUAGUGCAGAAUUGGGUGGUCCUCAGUCUAAGGUUGGCUCCUAAAAGCCUCUCGAUCCUUUUGGUUGGAAUAACUGCAAUUCUUUUGUGUGUUUUAGGAAUGGGGUCGCUUUUGUGAUAAAACUGUGGAUCAUUGCCCAAACUUGAUAGUGGAGUUCUGAACUAUUAUGAUGACAACUGAGUAUCUUAUUAGGAAGUGUGCUAGGAAAGUAAAUAUGGGAGGAAGGCAACUGCCAUGCUUCUGUUUUCCCAGGUCCCUUUGUUGGACACCUUCAACUUAUUUCUAAGAGGACCAUUUUUCUUCCUGUGGAGCAGUGAGGGUGGACUAGUUUAGAUAAUGAGAUGAUUAACAACUUCCAUUUACUUCAGUGGGCCUACUCUGAGCAUGCCUGAAUUUGGAUCCAGCCAAAAGAGCUUAGAGGAAUUACUUCAUGAUGUCAACAAAGACAUAUUAAUAUGUCAACAGAUCUUGUGUUGGCAAAAUAUAUGAAAUAAAACUCACCAAACACAACUGUAAGGUCUUUGUGAACUUCUGAAAAGUUAAGAAAUGCAAAUGACGUACCUAAUGGUGCAGGCUGUAAAUGGGGUGAGUCAAAUCUCUCUCCUGCUUCCAAGAUAGAUUAUUAGGCUAUUAAAUUCCUUUUGGCAUCCUACUUUUUUCUAUGAAAUGUAUUGCUUAAUGAAUCCUUAAACAUCUGUUCUGUGAUCCUGUUGGACACUUUUUAUGGCAUCCGCUUUCCAAGUAUAGGAUUAGCCACCUGGCAUUGUUUUAAAAAGUUAUCCUACCUUUAUUAGAGAGGAUGGAGCAAGGAUUAAUCCUGUUGUAAUAAUAUAAUUUUCCAAAGAGACAGACUGUUGCUUUCCACCUUCCUUUGCUUAUACAAAGGAGAAAUAUUUAUUCACAAUUGUUGUGAUUAUAGCAUGAUGAUUAUACAUGAGCAAUAUUAGUAGUAAUAUUAAAUGCUACU